GAUGAACGCUGGCGGCGUGCCUAAUACAUGCAAGUCGAGCGAACGGACGAGAAGCUUGCUUCUCUGAUGUUAGCGGCGGACGGGUGAGUAACACGUGGAUAACCUACCUAUAAGACUGGGAUAACUUCGGGAAACCGGAGCUAAUACCGGAUAAUAUUUUGAACCGCAUGGUUCAAAAGUGAAAGACGGUCUUGCUGUCACUUAUAGAUGGAUCCGCGCUGCAUUAGCUAGUUGGUAAGGUAACGGCUUACCAAGGCAACGAUGCAUAGCCGACCUGAGAGGGUGAUCGGCCACACUGGAACUGAGACACGGUCCAGACUCCUACUGGAGGCAGCAGUAGGGAAUCUUCCGCAAAGGGCGAAAGCCUGACGGAGCAACGCCGCGUGAGUGAUGAAGGUCUUCGGAUCGUAAAACUCUGUUAUUAGGGAAGAACAUAUGUGUAAGUAACUGUGCACAUCUUGACGGUACCUAAUCAGAAAGCCACGGCUAACUACGUG
rnacentral:rRNA from 1 species